GACGGAGGGUGCUAGCGUUGUUCGGAAUCACUGGGCGUAAAGCGCACGUAGGCGGACUCUUAAGUCGGUGGUGAAAUCCUGGAGCUCAACUCCAGAACUGCCUUCGAUACUGGGAGUCUCGAGUUCGGGAGAGGUGAGUGGAACUGCGAGUGUAGAGGUGAAAUUCGUAGAUAUUCGCAAGAACACCAGUGGCGAAGGCGGCUCACUGGCCCGAUACUGACGCUGAGGUGCGAAAGCGUGGGGAGCAAACAGG
rnacentral:rRNA from 1 species